CGAGCCGAGCCGGGCCGAGCCGAGCCGCGCAGGGAGCAGAGUCCGAGUCGGCUUGUCGCGGCUCGCAGCCCCGCCGGCCACCUCAGCCCCAGCCCCAGGACGGAGCGGGCCGAGCACACGUAGGGCGUAAGCGCGGCUAGCGCCCCGUCAAGACAGUGGUGCAUCAGGUGCAACAGUGCAGCAACAAGUGUCAGAGUGGCAGCGCACCGCCACGCCGGCAGCGCGACAGGCCGACAGGCCUGUAUAGCCAGCGGCUGCCAUCCAGGACAAAGCGGAGAAGCGACACCGUGGCCAGCCGCGGAAGAAGCUUGGAAGCAGCAGCCAGAUCAAAGCGGGGCCGAGCGGGCCGAGUGUCAACACAGCCUGAGGCAGCUCGGCUCGCCGAGGAAGUGGCUGCCAGCCCUUUUGCCCUGCAGCGCCAAGCUGCCUGCCUGCCUGCCUGCCCGCCUGCCUUGAUGAUAUCGGCCCUAACAGUGCGCGCGGCAUGAUGAGAUCCUGAAGGGAAGGCCACCGGCCUGGGCUCCGGGCUUGGUGCUCCGGCCUGGAGACGCCCGGGGCUCCGCCCGCUCCGCUGUGAGCGCGUCUCCAGCCCGGAGUCCGUCCGGGUUGUCCGUCCGGGCCGUCCGUCCGGGCCGUCCGUCCGGGCGUGGGCAUGAUGCGAGGGGCCCGGACUGCCCGGACGAGCGGCAUGGCGCUGGCUGCGCUGGCCACCUCUGAGCCUGAGGCCGACCCCUGCCCCUGC